CUUUUGUAUAAUGGGUCAGCGACUUAUAUUCUGUAGCAAGGUUAACCGAAUAGGGGAGCCGAAGGGAAACCGAGUCUUAACUGGGCGUUAAGUUGCAGGGUAUAGACCCGAAACCCGGUGAUCUAGCCAUGGGCAGGUUGAAGGUUGGGUAACACUAACUGGAGGACCGAACCGACUAAUGUUGAAAAAUUAGCGGAUGACUUGUGGCUGGGGGUGAAAGGCCAAUCAAACCGGGAGAUAGCUGGUUCUCCCCGAAAGCUAUUUAGGUAGCGCCUCGUGAAUUCAUCUCCGGGGGUAGAGCACUGUUUCGGCAAGGGGGUCAUCCCGACUUACCAACCCGAUGCAAACUGCGAAUACCGGAGAAUGUUAUCACGGGAGACACACGGCGGGUGCUAACGUCCGUCGUGAAGAGGGAAACAACCCAGACCGCCAGCUAAGGUCCCAAAGUCAUGGUUAAGUGGGAAACGAUGUGGGAAGGCCCAGACAGCCAGGAUGUUGGCUUAGAAGCAGCCAUCAUUUAAAGAAAGCGUAAUAGCUCACUGGUCGAGUCGGCCUGCGCGGAAGAUGUAACGGGGCUAAACCAUGCACCGAAGCUGCGGCAGCGACGCUGAUGCGUUGUUGGGUAGGGGAGCGUUCUGUAAGCCUGCGAAGGUGUGCUGUGAGGCAUGCUGGAGGUAUCAGAAGUGCGAAUGCUGACAUAAGUAACGAUAAAGCGGGUGAAAAGCCCGCUCGCCGGAAGACCAAGGGUUCCUGUCCAACGUUAAUCGGGGCAGGGUGAGUCGACCCCUAAGGCGAGGCCGAAAGGCGUAGUCGAUGGGAAACAGGUUAAUAUUCCUGUACUUGGUGUUACUGCGAAGGGGGGACGGAGAAGGCUAUGUUGGCCGGGCGACGGUUGUCCCGGUUUAAGCGUGUAGGCUGGUUUUCCAGGCAAAUCCGGAAAAUCAAGGCUGAGGCGUGAUGACGAGGCACUACGGUGCUGAAGCAACAAAUGCCCUGCUUCCAGGAAAAGCCUCUAAGCAUCAGGUAACAUCAAAUCGUACCCCAAACCGACACAGGUGGUCAGGUAGAGAAUACCAAGGCGCUUGAGAGAACUCGGGUGAAGGAACUAGGCAAAAUGGUGCCGUAACUUCGGGAGAAGGCACGCUGAUAUGUAGGUGAAGUCCCUCGCGGAUGGAGCUGAAAUCAGUCGAAGAUACCAGCUGGCUGCAACUGUUUAUUAAAAACACAGCACUGUGCAAACACGAAAGUGGACGUAUACGGUGUGACGCCUGCCCGGUGC
rnacentral:rRNA from 1 species